rnacentral:rRNA from 1 species
GAUAAACGCUGGCGGCGCACAUAAGACAUGCAAGUCGAACGGAACUUUAGAGAUGUUUAACUUUUCUAAAGUUUAGUGGCGGACUGGUGAGUAACACGUAGGUAAUCUGCCUUUAAGAGAGGGAUAACAGUGAGAAAUCACUGCUAAUACCACAUAAAGUUAGUUUAUUGCAUGAUGAACUAACCAAAGGAGUAAUCCACUUAAAGAUGAGCCUGCGGCUGAUUAGCUAGUUGGUAGGGUAAAGGCUUACCAAGGCGACGAUCAGUAGCCGGACUGAGAGGUUGAACGGCCACAUUGGGACUGAGAUACGGCCCAA